rnacentral:rRNA from 1 species
GCCGGGCGUGCUAAUACAUGCAAGUCGUACGCUUCUUUUUCCACCGGAGCUUGCUCCACCGGGAAAAAGAAGAGUGGCGAACGGGUGAGUAACACGUGGGUAACCUGCCCAUCAGAAGGGGAUAACACUUGGAAACAGGUGCUAAUACCGUAUAACAAUCGAAACCGCAUGGUUUUGAUUUGAAAGGCGCUUUCGGGUGUCGCUGAUGGAUGGACCCGCGGUGCAUUAGCUAGUUGGUGAGGUAACGGCUCACCAAGGCCACGAUGCAUAGCCGACCUGAGAGGGUGAUCGGCCACAUUGGGACUGAGACACGGCCCAAACUCCUACGGGAGGCAGCAGUAGGGAAUCUUCGGCAAUGGACGAAAGUCUGACCGAGCAACGCCGCGUGAGUGAAGAAGGUUUUCGGAUCGUAAAACUCUGUUGUUAGAGAAGAACAAGGAUGAGAGUAACUGUUCAUCCCUUGACGGUAUCUAACCAGAAAGCCACGGCUAACUACGUGCCAGCAGCCGCGGUAAUACGUAGGUGGCAAGCGUUGUCCGGAUUUAUUGGGCGUAAAGCGAGCGCAGGCGGUUUCUUAAGUCUGAUGUGAAAGCCCCCGG